AUACUUACCAGGCAGGGGAGAUACCAUAAUCAUGAAGGUGGUCUUCCCAGGCCAAGGCUUAUCCAUUGUACUUGGGAUGUGCUGACUCAUGCAGUUUCGCCAAAUGCAGGAAACUGGACUGCAUAACUUGUGGUAGUGGGGACUAUGUUCUCACCCCUG